rnacentral:rRNA from 1 species
UACGUAGGGACCAAGCGUUGUUCGGAUUUACUGGGCGUAAAGGGCGCGUAGGCGGCGCGGUAAGUCACUUGUGAAAUCUCUGAGCUUAACUCAGAACGGCCAAGUGAUACUGCAGUGCUAGAGUGUGGAAGGGGCAAUCGGAAUUCUUGGUGUAGCGGUGAAAUGCGUAGAUAUCAAGAGGAACACCUGAGGUGAAGACGGGGUUGCUGGGCCAACACUGACGCUGAGGCGCGAAAGCCAGGGGAGCAAACGGG